rnacentral:tRNA from 1 species
GGAGCUGUCGCAUAGUUCGGCCUAGUGCACCACCCUGCUAAGGUGGAGAGGGGUUUAUACUCCUCCGUGGGUUCAAAUCCCACCGGCUCCGCAA